rnacentral:rRNA from 1 species
GCGUGUGUGAAGAAGGCCUUCGGGUUGUAAAGCACUUUCAGUCGUGAGGAAGGUGGUGUAGUUAAUAGCUGCAUUAUUUGACGUUAGCGACAGAAGAAGCACCGGCUAACUCCGUGCCAGCAGCCGCGGUAAUACGGAGGGUGCGAGCGUUAAUCGGAAUUACUGGGCGUAAAGCGCAUGCAGGUGGUUUGUUAAGUCAGAUGUGAAAGCCCGGGGCUCAACCUCGGAAUAGCAUUUGAAACUGGCAGACUAGAGUACUGUAGAGGGGGGUAGAAUUUCAGGUGUAGCGGUGAAAUGCGUAGAGAUCUGAAGGAAUACCGGUGGCGAAGGCGGCCCCCUGGACAGAUACUGACACUCAGAUGCGAAAGCGUGGGGAGCAAACAGGAUUAGAUACCCUGGUAGUCCACGCCGUAAACGAUGUCUACUUGGAGGUUGUGGCCUUGAGCCGUGGCUUUCGGAGCUAACGCGUUAAGUAGACCGCCUGGGGAGUACGGUCGCAAGAUUAAAACUCAAAUGAAUUGACGGGGGCCCGCACAAGCGGUGGAGCAUGUGGUUUAAUUCGAUGCAACGCGAAGAACCUUACCUACUCUUGACAUCCAGAGAACUUUCCAGAGAUGGAUUGGUGCCUUCGGGAACUCUGAGACAGGUGCUGCAUGGCUGUCGUCAGCUCGUGUUGUGAAAUGUUGGGUUAAGUCCCGCAACGAGCGCAACCCCUUAUCCUUGUUUGCCAGCGAGUAAUGUCGGGAACUCCAGGGAGACUGCCGGUGAUAAACCGGGAGGAAAGGUGGGGGACGACGUCAAGUCAUCAUGGCCCUUACGAGUAGGGCUACCCACGUGGCUACAAUGGGCGCAUACAGAGGGCGGCCAACUUGCCGAAAGUGAGCGAAAUCCCAAAAAGUUGCGUCGUAAUUCCGGAUUGGAGUCUGCCAACUCGACCUCCUGGAAGUCGGAAUCGCUAGUAAUCGUGGAAU